UGCUCCAUGUAUGAAGCUUCCCCACAAUGACAUUUUUUCCUCUGACAGACCACAUACUACAAAAAUGAAAGGGAACUCAGCUACCAGAAGUUGAUUUGGUAUUCAGAAAUUUUUCCCACUCAGUGCCUAAUUUUCUUUCCCACUGUCACAGAUUUUACUCUUUUAUUCUUGUAGAUUUAUGUGGGUUUAACCAUAUAGCAGUGUAUUUGAGGGCAUGGGCAAGGGCAAAGAAAUAAAUCCUCCAUAAACAAACAGGUUUCAGUGCACGACCAGUAAUGCUUCAUUGCAAUAUCACAAUGUUUUAAUAUAGAUUACUUUCUUUAUGCAAUGCAUGAAUCAGUUAACACUCAUGCAAAAUACAUUCCAUCUGCUCAGACAGAUGUAAGCUGCAGUGUUUCCAAUUCUAUCAAACAGUACAACUAGCUGAAAGAGAAGAACUGACACAGAUGGGCAAUGUGUGAGGAGAGGGGCUCAAAUUAAAGAAAAAGCUUUGUCUUAAAAUCUACCCAGUUGAAAAAUGAGAUUCUCAUUUCAUCCAUGUUUGUCCACAGAGGUACAAACACAACAGCCCUUAGUAUGAAGUAAGAUGGAGAGGGUGUUUAUGUCUUAGUGAAAACAUUUUAACUAAAUGGAAUCACCUUUGGAGUCUGUAGCAGUGAUUAGCAAUUCUAAAAGGCUCUUUAAGUAACAUAAGCUUGACUAGGAUAGAUGCUAGGACUAAGGGAAAUGUCAAGGGGUAUGGAAAAUGGAAAAGGAAAGAAUAAUAGGAAAAGUGAGAGAAGAGGUAGAUUGUUGAAGAAAGAUUGGGAGAGGAGGAGAUGAUGAGAAAAAGAUGACUUCUAUUAAAGAUUGGCCAAGAAAUGCCAACAAUAGCCCUAAAGAUCUUAUCAGUAUUCUUAAGCACAGAUGUAAAAGAUAAAAGUAAUAAUUUCCAUCAAUAUCAAGUUGCUAACUUAUCAUUAAUUCCCAAGCUUUUCCAAACGCAAAUACUUAAAUAUUGUCAUUGUAGCCCCUAGGGUUGACUGAAAGCUACUUCUCCAUGUAGUCUGUUGCCUUGAAUUCACCUUUGUGGACAAUGCUCAAAGUCCGAUAUUCCCUCUCUUAACACUCUACCUUGCUGCCACAUUCACUCAGCAUCCUAUAUGGCCUUUGCAAAAUCAAAG
rnacentral:lncRNA from 1 species